GGUGCGGUAGGCUAGAUGGUGGCGGGCGGCUGGACCUUGGAAUGGACAUGUAUACCCCAGCGGCCAUACUGCCGCCCGCCAACUCUGUCCUGGAUCGGAAUGGGAGCAUAUAUCGCCAUCCAGGACAGAGAGCGAACGGUGGCCGACAGCGACGGCACGCGGCGCGCAACGCUAUAGCCCGUCUUUGGCCUCGCGAAGAGGUGCGCAUCUUUUCCUACCAAAAAAACGCGGCGGCGAGCGACGCGGCCGCACGGGCGCGCGGUGGACGCACGCCACCGGCCCGUCCGCGGAUCGGGGAGGUGCCGUCCCGUCCGCCAUGUCACCGCCACCGCCCCGCAACGCCCGAUGGCAUUGACCCGGCCGUGCCACACGCCUCGGCUGACGCGCGCAGAUCCCGCCCGCUCUCCUGUCCUCCGGGGCUCCCGGACGACGAGACGACGAACGGCGAGAGGAUGGCGCCAUCUUCUCGGUCGCUUUCGUGGCCGCUCACGGGCGGCUGCACGCAUGACACGGACACACGUGUUCCUGCUCCGCGCACUCGCAAGUUAAACUUUAAGCCACAGCUGCGUUCAGCCUCAGACGUGGCUCUCCAACGAUCGGAUCAAUUUCGAAUAAAAAAACAAACGAGGCUUCGAGUGAGUAAGAGAGAGAGAGAGAGAGAGCGCGCGCGCAUGAUAGAGAUUGGCCAGGACGGGACGGGAAGGAUUCACGUGUCAAAUAAUGUAAUCCGCCGGCUCCUCCAUUUCCAUGGUGCGCGCGUAUCUUGUGCAGGUAGGCUAUACGUCUUUCUCGACGGCUACAAAAAGCAUCUCCAUUUCGUCCCUCCUCCAUCUUUCCAGUCGGGUCCAGAAUUAUGUCCGCCGAGGACCGCCGAGAUUUUUGUUCUGUCCAUGUGUGGUGGCGUGGCGCUAGAGAUGGUCUGUACCUCCCUCGUCGUCCUAGACAAGGAUGGCGCAUUUUGGUCUUGUUACAAUUCGUAGCCUUUUUGUACUCCAAACAAGAGCCAGAUUCCGGGGCUCUGGACAAGUCUCAGGCUCGAGCUCGACCGCUCGAGAGCAGUCCUGUCCAGCCGGUGAAAGCUCCGGUCGAGCCCUACCUUCCUGUGUUCCUGCCUACCAGCAUUGGAUGCAUUCGCCGCUGGAGGGUGUAGCAGCACCGGCUGCGGUUGUGAUACAAAUACAACGCGGGGGUCAACGGUGGAUGCUUGCUAGGGCGCUUUCGGACGGGGAUGGGGAUGGGCACGGUUGGGCGAUGGGCCCCACUUUGCCCGUGCACCGCAGUACUAAUGUUGUAGUAGUAGUAGGAAAAUGGGAUUCCUAUUUCCUCCUCUUCUUUGCUGGUGUCCACGACGCUUUUCCAUAAUACCCCUAGAGCUCCGUCGUUUCGUUUUUUUUUCUUUUUCUUUUUUAUGCGUAAACCGCACUGGCGCCUGUCUUUCUCAUAUCCAAGCCCCAUUGUAUUUGCAAAUUCCACGCUUUAUCUUUCUAAGCCCACCUCGAGUUCUCUUCUCGAUUACUCAUAAAAUUUAUACGCAAUAUAAUAGAGAGUAAACUAGAUUUCAAGAAAGAACAAAUACGACGGGCAUAGCUUGUAAUUCAAAAACCACGCGAAGAGGAAGUUAUUUCAAAACGGCGUUUUCUUCUAGUUGAUGAAAUCAGGCUAGAUAUAAACAACCAUACAUCUACGAUCUAUCCCACCACUACCUAUUUCAAAUAUGAAAACAUAUCUGGUGCACAUGGACGUUUAGUGCACAUGGUCCACAUAUUAAAUCAGCAUCACUCAUUUUAGA
rnacentral:misc_RNA from 1 species